UAUUGGUCAAUGUUCGGGAGACUGAACCAGCCAAGCCGCGUGAGGGAUGAAGGUACAGAGUAUCGUAAAUCUCUUUUGUCAGGGAACAAAGGCGGGGACGCGUCCACGGAUGAGUGUAUCUGAAGAAAAAGCAUCGGCUAACUCCGUGCCAGCAGCUGCGGUAAUACGGAGGAUGCGAGCGUUAUCCGUAUUUAUUGGGUUUAAAGGGUGCGCAGGCGGUCUGUUAAGUCAGCGGUCAAAGCCCGGGGCUCAACCCCGGUCCGCCGUUGAAACUGGCAGUCUCGAGUUGGAGAGAAGUAUGCGGAAUGCGCGGUGUAGCGGUGAAAUGCAUAGAUAUCGCGCAGAACUCCGAUUGCGAAGGCAGCAUGCCGGCUCCACACUGACGCUGAAGCACGAAAGCGUGGGUAUCG
rnacentral:rRNA from 1 species